rnacentral:rRNA from 1 species
UGCAGUCGACGGUAACAGAUCUAGCUUGCUAGAUGCUGACGAGUGGCGGACGGGUGAGUAACGCGUGGGAAUCUACCCAGAAGUUCGGGACAACCUGGUGAAAACCAGGCUAAUACCGAAUGUUGUCUACGGACUAAAGCAGGGGAUCUUCGGACCUUGCGCUUUUGGAUGAGCCCGCGUUAGAUUAGCUAGUUGGUGGGGUAAAGGCCUACCAAGGCGACGAUCUAUAGCUGGUCUGAGAGGACGAUCAGCCACACUGGGACUGAGACACGGCCCAGACUCCUACGGGAGGCAGCAGUGGGGAAUAUUGGACAAUGGGCGCAAGCCUGAUCCAGCAAUACCGCGUGUGUGAAGAAGGCCCGAGGGUUGUAAAGCACUUUCAAUUGUGAAGAAAAGUUGUGGGUUAAUAACCCAUGACCUUGACGUUAACUUUAGAAGAAGCACCGGCUAACUCCGUGCCAGCAGCCGCGGUAAUACGGAGGGUGCGAGCGUUAAUCGGAAUUACUGGGCGUAAAGCGUGCGUAGGCGGUUAUUUAAGUCAGAUGUGAAAGCCCAGGGCUCAACCUUGGAACUGCAUUUGAAACUGGAUAACUAGAGUUUGGUAGAGGCGGGUAGAAUUCCUAGUGUAGCGGUGAAAUGCGUAGAUAUUAGGAGGAAUACCAGUGGCGAAGGCGGCCCGCUGGACCAGAACUGACGCUGAGGUACGAAAGCGU